GACGAACGCUGGCGGCGUGCCUAAUACAUGCAAGUAGAACGCUGAAGGAGGAGCUUGCUUCUCUGGAUGAGUUGCGAACGGGUGAGUAACGCGUAGGUAACCUGCCUGGUAGCGGGGGAUAACUAUUGGAAACGAUAGCUAAUACCGCAUAAGAGUAGAUGUUGCAUGACAUUUGCUUAAAAGGUGCAAUUGCAUCACUACCAGAUGGACCUGCGUUGUAUUAGCUAGUUGGUGAGGUAACGGCUCACCAAGGCGACGAUACAUAGCCGACCUGAGAGGGUGAUCGGCCACACUGGGACUGAGACACGGCCCAGGCUCCUACGGGAGGCAGCAGUAGGGAAUCUUCGGCAAUGGACGGAAGUCUGACCGAGCAACGCCGCGUGAGUGAAGAAGGUUUUCGGAUCGUAAAGCUCUGUUGUAAGAGAAGAACGAGUGUGAGAGUGGAAAGUUCACACUGUGACGGUAUCUUACCAGAAAGGGACGGCUAACUACGUGCCAGCAGCCGCGGUAAUACGUAGGUCCCGAGCGUUGUCCGGAUUUAUUGGGCGUAAAGCGAGCGCAGGCGGUUAGAUAAGUCUGAAGUUAAAGGCUGUGGCUUAACCAUAGUACGCUUUGGAAACUGUUUAACUUGAGUGCAAGAGGGGAGAGUGGAAUUCCAUGUGUAGCGGUGAAAUGCGUAGAUAUAUGGAGGAACACCGGUGGCGAAAGCGGCUCUCUGGCUUGUAACUGACGCUGAGGCUCGAAAGCGUGGGGAGCAAACAGGAUUAGGUACCCUGGUAGUCCACGCCGUAAACGAUGAGUGCUAGGUGUUAGACCCUUUCCGGGGUUUAGUGCCGCAGCUAACGCAUUAAGCACUCCGCCUGGGGAGUACGACCGCAAGGUUGAAACUCAAAGGAAUUGACGGGGGCCCGCACAAGCGGUGGAGCAUGUGGUUUAAUUCGAAGCAACGCGAAGAACCUUACCAGGUCUUGACAUCCCUCUGACCGCUCUAGAGAUAGAGUUUUCCUUCGGGACAGAGGUGACAGGUGGUGCAUGGUUGUCGUCAGCUCGUGUCGUGAGAUGUUGGGUUAAGUCCCGCAACGAGCGCAACCCCUAUUGUUAGUUGCCAUCAUUCAGUUGGGCACUCUAGCGAGACUGCCGGUAAUAAACCGGAGGAAGGUGGGGAUGACGUCAAAUCAUCAUGCCCCUUAUGACCUGGGCUACACACGUGCUACAAUGGCUGGUACAACGAGUCGCAAGCCGGUGACGGCAAGCUAAUCUCUUAAAGCCAGUCUCAGUUCGGAUUGUAGGCUGCAACUCGCCUACAUGAAGUCGGAAUCGCUAGUAAUCGCGGAUCAGCACGCCGCGGUGAAUACGUUCCCGGGCCU
rnacentral:rRNA from 1 species